ACAAUACUCCCUCCGUCCCAAAAUACUUGUCCGAGGAAUGGAUGUAUCUAGAUGUAUUUUAGUUUUAGAUACGUCCAUUUGUAUCCAUUUCUACGACAAGUAUUUCCGGACGGAGGUAGUACUAG
rnacentral:pre_miRNA from 1 species